UACGAAGGGUGCAAGCGUUGUUCGGAUUUAUUGGGCGUAAAGCACGCGCAGGCGGGACGGUAAGUCAGGUGUGAAAUCUCGGAGCUCAACUCCGAAACUGCGCCUGAAACUGCUGUUCUAGAAUCUUGGAGAGGGAGAGAGAAUUUCGCAUGUAGGGGUAAAAUCCGUAGAGAUGCGAAGGAAUAUCGGAGGCGAAGGCGCUUUCCUGGACAAGUAUUGACGCUGAGGCGUGAGAGCGUGGGGAG
rnacentral:rRNA from 1 species